GGUCCACGGUCCCCCAGUCCAGCUGGCUGUGGACGACUCCUCAGACGAAGGGGAGCUGUUUCUGAAGAACCAGGAGGACUUUGAACAGAAGUACAAUUUCCGUUUCGAGGAGCCGGACUCAGCAUCGGUCAAGACCUACCCACGCAGCAUCGCGUCCUCCGUGCGCCGUAAGGAUGAGCGCAGAAAGGAGAAGAGGGAAGAGACUCGGGAGCGAAAGAAGAGGGUGAGUGUGGGGGGUGAGCUGGGGAGGACCCCCCAGCCCUGGAGGAAAGCCCAUGCCCUCCCCCUCUCUGCCUGGGCCUGCAGGAGAAAGCCAAGAAGCAGGAGGAGCUCAAGCAGCUGAAGAACCUGAAGAGGAAGGAGAUUCUGGCCAAGCUGGAGAAGCUGCGGAAAGUAACAGGCAACGAGACGCUGGGCCUCGAGGAGGGGGACCUUGAAGAUGACUUCGACCCUGCCCAGCACGACCAGCUCAUGCAGAAGUGCUUUGGGGACGAGUACUACGGGGCCGUGGAGGAGGAGAAGCCACAAUUUGAGGAAGAAGAAGGGCUUGAAGACGACUGGAACUGGGACACGUGGGACGGGCCUGAGCAGGAGGGAGACUGGAGCCAGCAGGAGCUGCACUGUGAGGACCCCAACUUCAACGUAGGUAUCACGGGUUGAGGGAGUCCCAGGGGCCCUGACGGGGGGCUGGUGGGAUCUGACCUGUGCGUCCUGGCAGAUGGACGCCGACUACGACCCCAGCCAGCCGAGGAAGAAAAAGCGCGAGGCCCCCUUGACAGGCAAGAAGAAGCGCAAGUCGCCCUUCGCCGCGGCCGUGGGGCAGGAGAAGCCCGUGUUCGAACCCGGGGAUAAGACGUUCGAGGAGUACCUGGAUGAGUAUUACCGGCUGGACUACGAGGACAUCAUCGACGACCUGCCCUGUCGCUUCAAGUACCGCACAGUGGUGCCCUGUGACUUUGGCCUCAGCACUGAGGAGAUAUUCGCUGCUGACGAUAAGGAGCUGAACCGGUGGUGCUCCCUAAAGAAGACCUGCAUGUACAGGUCAGAGCAGGAGGAGCUGCGGGACAAGCGGGCGUACAGCCAGAAGGCCCAGAACUCAUGGAAAAAGCGGCAGGUCUUCAAGUCACUCUGCCGAGAAGAGGCAGAGACACCUGCGGAAGCCACAGGGAAGCCACACAGAGAUGAAGCCGGCCCACAGAGGCAGCUGCCAGCCCUUGAUGGCAGCUUGAUGGGGCUGGAGAGUCCCCCAGCACAGGAAGAGGAAGCCCCUGUAUCACCCCACAAGAAGCCAGCCCCCCAGAAGCGGAGGAGGGCCAAGAAGGCACGGCUGCUGGGCCCCACUGUGAUGCUUGGUGGAUGCGAGUUCAGCCGCCAGAGACUGCAGGCCUUUGGCCUCAACCCCAAACGGCUGCACUUCCGCCAGCUGGGCUGGCAGCGGAGGAAACAACAGGGGCCCAAGAACAGCUCCUGAGCACCAGGGAGCAGGCAGGGGCCUCAGGCUCCUCUCCUCAAAUCAAGCCCUGGACAGGUCUCGCACCCACAAGUACUAUCUGCUGCAGAGAUCCUCUCAUCUGUGGCCAGGCACGCCUGUAAUCCCAGCACUUUGGGAGGCCGAGGUGAAAGGAUCACUUGAGCCCAGGAAUUGGAGACCAGCGUGGGCAACUUAGCGAGACUCCAUCUCUACAAAAUGUGGUGACACAUGCCUGUAGUCCCAGCUACUCAGGAGGCUGGGGAAGGAAGAUCACUUAAGGCCAUGAGUUUUGAGGCUACAGAGAGCUAUGAUUGCACCACUGCACUCCAGCCUGGGCAAAAAAGAGACUCCUGUCUCUUGGAAAAAAAAAAAAAAAAUUAAAAAACACGUGUAGCUGCGGGUAAGGAAGUCGUCCCAUUUUAUGGAUGUGGAAACGGAGGCUGACUUAAACUUCCCGUGACUUGGAACUCUCGAGACACCUCCCAGACCCCACAUCCCCUCAGAACGCUGCGCCCAGCCACACCCACGAUCAAGUUACACAGCUUUAUUGGCCCCCAGCAGCCACAGUUCCCCCAAGGGGGCUUUGGGACAGGGAGGGCCCGGGCGUCCAGUGCAAACUACAGUACGUGAGUCAGGCCCUGAGGGGGGUGCCCGGGGUCCUCCUUCCCUACCCUGCCAGGAGGGCCCCCGCUGGUGGGAGACAGGUGUGUGGGCUCUGUGGGCUCUGUCCCUGGCUGAAUGGCCCCAGACUGGUUGCAGCUGGGCUUGAGGGGCUGACAACAGGAAGUACCAUCAUCACUGCCAGAGCUCAAGAUCCCACACCCGACAUGACAUAAAUAAAAAAAUAAAUAGUGUUGU
rnacentral:sRNA from 1 species